rnacentral:rRNA from 1 species
UCAAAGAGUGCGUAAUAGCUCACUGGUCGAGUGAUCCGGCGCCGAAGAUUUCCGGGGCUAAAACUUACUACCGAAGCUACGGCAUCAGUAAUGAUGGGUAGGGGAGCUUCCCAUACGGGUUGAAGCAUGACCGUAAGGACAUGGGGACAGUAUGGGAGUGAGAAUGUUGGCAUGAGUAGCGAGAUGUGGGUGAGAAUCCCACAGGCCGUAAACCCAAGGUUUCCAGGGGAAGGUUCGUCCGCCCUGGGUUAGUCGGGACCUAAGCUGAGGCCGAAAGGCGUAGGUGAUGGACAACAGGUUGAUAUUCCUGUACUACCGAU